AUGGAUAGAGGAAAGUUGUUAUGGAUUCUGAAUGUGAGCGAAAAGGUGAUUGUCUCAGCGAACGAAAAAUAUGAACGGGUUUGUGAGAUGGCUAUGGAAGUGAGGUAUGGUGUUGAAGGUUAUGUUAUUUCCGCAGUUUUAAUUGUUAUUUCUGCAGGUUAUGUUCUUCCCCUUUUGAUAGUGUUCCUAUCUCUUCUUUAUAGUCAGUCUCUCAUAAAAUUGGAGGGAGAUUUUUGA